rnacentral:lncRNA from 1 species
AUCCCGUGAUACGAGGUUCACUAAACAAUUAGGUCUAGCCAAGAAACAACAUGAAACGAAACAAACCGACGGAUCAACCACCAAAGGCCACAAUGCACGACGGAUCUACAUCUUUCUCUGAAGAAUCUAAGGUCUAGUUUGGAAGCCACAAAACCGAAGGUGAUUGGAGGGGCUAGAAUCCCCUUCUUAUUUAAUUGAAUAAGAAGGGGAUUCUAGCUCCUCCAAUCCCCUUCAGUUUUGUGGCUCCCAAACUCGCCCUAAGCGGACAGCAUGCCUCCGAAGAACCAAAUGCACGCAGCGCAACCGCGGCAGCCUGGGCCCUAGGGAGGUGAAACCCUGCGGAUCGACGACAGUGGCUCACAAAGGUCAACAGAUCCGCGUCUACCGACAUGGAGCGGACGCUCGGAAGGCAGGAAUGGACGCGGAUCCAACGCCGCGGGUAUAUUCAGGAGCUUGGGGCGCAAAUCGGGGCAGGGAAACGAGACGACGACCCGAGGGUAGAGCGGGCAGAGGAGGGGGCCUUACCGAAGGCAGUGACGAGGAAGUAUGAGGGCGACCGGCGGCGGGAUCGCCGGGACUGCGGCUGCUCCGGCCCUCUCGUUUCU